rnacentral:lncRNA from 1 species
AACAAGCUCUUCUAGGAGCUCGAAUUAUAUUAUUUUCUGAACCAAGGGAGUUUACUAAAAUCAGCAGCACUUUACAGAAAUAAGUGUGAAAUGAUUCACGAAAAGAUCAGUGGGGAUAUCUCUACCUGGACAAAGUUAUACAUCCUGACAUAGACAUCUAGGAGUUUGAAUUUGAUAGUUCCAACAGAAACACUUGCGACAGAUAAAUAACUUUUAGUAAGGAAAGGUCUAAACGAACAUGAUCUUGUCGGCAAGUUAUUAUCGAUCUUACAACGGCUUCCCUCCUUCCACUUGUCCCAGAUCACCUUUUUAGUUUUGUCUUGCCUACAAAAGUAAUUUUUGAGAACCCUUGCAUAAGAAACAAAUGAAAUUAAGAGAACAAAUAUAAAACUGAAAGACAACAUCUUAUCAGAAAGAAUUUAUAAGAAACAAAUGAAAACAGGACAAAUGGAUGGGUUUGAAUCGGAAAUAAAACCAGCUAUAACUAAAAAAACUAAUGCGGUGUGAACAAACAAAGCAAAUGCCUAAUAUUGCCAGGGUAUACACCAGAACAUGUAAUACAAAGCAUCAGUUUGACAUAGUACUAUCCUGACACGGAAAAUCAUAGUGUUUUUUCAGAAUAUAAUGAAGGAUUAGAGGAUUACUAUGUUGGUUUGAUCUGUCUUGCCUUAUCAGAAGUAGAGGACAAAGCAAAUACACAUGCCAGAUAAGGAACAGAUAGUUGCCAUUCUAUAAAACAGAAAAUUUCAACCUUAAGAAAUGACAGCCUGCCUUUCCUCAGUAAAGAAAGUUAUGCCCAUGCAUAUCAUGGAAAUCUUGUGAUGGUGCAACAAUUAUGUAUAUAUAUAGGGACAUGGUAGAUUACUCUUCGUAAGCAAUGAUAGCAGGCAAAAACUAUGCUCUUUUAAUUUUGAAGCGGAAGGUUGCCCAUCUGGAUCCAGUGAGUGAUGAACCAUAGAGAGGGCACUUCGAGUGCUUCAGGAGUAGUUUUUCAGCAUCAGCAACAACCAUUAGGAAUAUCACCUGCAUUGCUUGUCAUACCAAAGUUAAGAAGAAAAUAACUAUGAUUCCCACUUAAAAUCCAAAGUACUCCCAAGGAUAAAAAUGCAUAUCCAUACCAAAAGUUCACCGGGAUGCAGAUGUAAAAAUUGUGGGUUUACUAUUUAUGUGUUGGUUUGCUUGUCAUGAUUGUCCUCUCAUUCAGCUAGCUGCCUACUCAGUCCUUUCGUAAGAGCAAAUUAACUGUACGUCCUUCGAUUCAAGAAUAAACAAAAUAGUAGUCUGGUUCUUUUGUUAAUACAUAUGCAAAACCCAUGGAAGCAUAACUAAACAUAUAAUAAAAGCCUAUAAGGUUCAAAAUGACCCAUAAUUUGAUAAUAUAUAGAGACUGGAAACCGAAGUACUCUGAAUAACAUAACAUCUGCAAGUAAGAACAGAAGAUCUCAAUCAGUUUUGGCUUUCGAACUCACAUAAUUAAAUAUGUAAGAUCUAGCGAAAGGGAACCGGCAUCAUGACUUGACUGCAUUCCUUGAGUACUCGCUCAAGGUGCCCCUACUGGUCUCAUUCCAGGCCAAAAGAAGAAUAGCUAAUGUUCGGACGGUAGCACAGGUUGUCAUGCUCAUCAGGGCCAAGUGUUGAACACUAAUAGUGCUUGAUGGCCUGGCUCCGCCAGGUCUUAACGCCUGUAGCGGCAAAGGUGAAUAAUCCUCUCCGUUACUGAAAAAUAUGUGUUGAGGACUCAAGUCAAUAGCAUCAUUUCUGCACCGGAAAAGAAGUGUCCAUCGUAUCUGCCACUACUUUUUCCUGAAGAUGCCACUACCUAUUGUGAAGUUUAAUAUCAUUGGACCAAAACCUAUUUCAAAUUGCAAAAACAGAAUGCCGACAUAAACCAAUGAUAUUCAACUAUCUAACAAUCACAAGUAAAAAGAGGAAUGCAUGAAUAUGGAAACAUCUAUGCGAUUGAGUACAGUCCAAACAAAACCUACAUACGUAUACAUAGCUAGCCAUAUGGAGCUGUAAACCAAGACAGAGGCCACCCAAGGCAGAACAUUGGAUAGUUACAAAGGAACAUAAAAAACACUAAAGAUAGAAAAUAGUAAAGACGAAGGAAGCUUGUACAAAUACACAAAAGCCCAUGACUUCCGAAACACUGAUCAAGAAGCGUCAAAAUUAGUACACUGACCAACCUACAUGCAUUGUUAAACCUGAGGUAGGGAGCAUCAAUCUAUUCUUCCAAGAACAAGAGGGUAAUGUACUUUAAGAAAAGGCAAAUGUACUUUAAGAAAAUCGACAGUGGGACCAUGCAGUAUAAAUAAAUGGUAUGGUCGCAACUCUUCCCUUCUCUCUAGCUCUAAUUCGAACACAACACAAUGAUCCACCCCUGAUUUAAACAGUAUACUAAAAUCUGAUUUUAGUGGGCAGCAUGUAUUUAUAGACAACCUAGCCACUCCAACUUCAAAAGAACCAAGUUCCAACUCCACGACACAUAUGACCAUUACAGAAGCACUUUUCGGUACCACCAUUCUAGCCUUACCGUCAUGUGGCAACCAAACCGAUCCUCACUUUUUUAGAAAAAGCAACUACUCUACUGACCCUUCGUAGGCACAACUCAAUUAACUGGGUGGUCAGCCAAGCAUUUUGUGCCUGCUGCAAUCUUCAAGUAUAUAAUAUAGCCAAGUUAUUUGUUGAUACUAAGAGAUGUAAAAAUAAGCUAGAGUAGCCAAGGUUUAGAUGUUGUACCAGUCAGCAAAUCUGCACUGUACUAUUUGGAAGAACGUCGGAUGGAUCCAACCAUAUUUGGUCAGAGACGCACCAAAGUCCGACCUGACAGCCCCUUUUCUUCUCCUCUGGCCUC